CAAUAGCGUAUAUUAAAGUUGUUGCAGUUAAAAAGCUCGUAGUUGGAUUUGUGGCGUACGGUGUGUUCCGGGCACUUGUUGUCUGAGUAACCUGCUGUUGCCAUCCUUGGGUGGAACCUGUGUGGCAUUAGGUUGUCGUGCAGGGGAUGCCCAUCAUUUACUGUGAAAAAAUUAGAGUGUUCAAAGCAGGCUUAUGCCGUUGAAUAUAUUAGCAUGGAAUAAUGAGAUAGGACUUUUUUGCUAUUUUGUUGGUUUGCGCAAAGAGGUAAUGAUUAAUAGGGACAGUUGGGGGUAUUCGUAUUCCAUUGUCAGAGGUGAAAUUCUUGGAUUUUUGGAAGACGAACUACUGUGAAAGCAUUUACCAAGGAUGUUUUCAUUAA
rnacentral:rRNA from 1 species